rnacentral:lncRNA from 1 species
CGUCAUGUUGAUUUACCCCUUUUUGUUCAUGACCGUAGGCCAUUUGAGUUUGACGCUUCCUCCCGGUGCUCGAGCUUGGGGACCCGAACUUCUCAUUACUUUGAGGAAGUCGAUUUCUCCUCGGCCUGUGUUGAGUUCCCUCUUAGCGACUGAGGGUUUUUGAUAGGAGUAUCCUUUCCUGUUGAGACAAGGUUCCUUGUGUCUUUGGUGUAGUUUGUUUUCACUUAUCGCUGGUGUAGUUCGUUGCC